GGUUAAGCGACUAAGCGUACACGGUGGAUGCCCUGGCAGUCAGAGGCGAUGAAGGGCGUGCUAAUCUGCGAUAAGCGCCGGUAAGGUGAUAUGAACCGUUAUAACCGGCGAUACCCGAAUGGGGAAACCCAGUGUGACUCGUCACACUAUCAUUAACUGAAUCCAUAGGUUAAUGAGGCGAACCGGGGGAACUGAAACAUCUAAGUACCCCGAGGAAAAGAAAUCAACCGAGAUUCCCCCAGUAGCGGCGAGCGAACGGGGAGGAGCCCAGAGCCUGAAUCAGCAUGUGUGUUAGUGGAAGCGUCUGGAAAGGCGCGCGAUACAGGGUGACAGCCCCGUACACAAAAGCGCAUGUGCUGUGAGCUCGAUGAGUAGGGCGGGACACGUGGUAUCCUGUCUGAAUAUGGGGGGACCAUCCUCCAAGGCUAAAUACUCCUGACUGACCGAUAGUGAACCAGUACCGUGAGGGAAAGGCGAAAAGAACCCCGGCGAGGGGAGUGAAAAAGAACCUGAAACCGUGUACGUACAAGCAGUGGGAGCACAGGUUUACCUGUGUGACUGCGUACCUUUUGUAUAAUGGGUCAGCGACUUAUAUUCUGUAGCAAG
rnacentral:rRNA from 1 species